ACUCCUACGGGAGGCAGCAGUGGGGAAUAUUGCACAAUGGGGGAAACCCUGAUGCAGCCAUGCCGCGUGUGUGAAGAAGGCCUUCGGUUGUAAGCACUUUCAGUAGGGAGGAAGGUAGUGUAGUUAACACCUGCACUAUUUGACGUUACCUACAGAAGAAGCACCGGCUAACUCCGUGCCAGCAGCCGCGGUAAUACGGAGGGUGCGAGCGUUAAUCGGAAUUACUGGGCGUAAAGCGCAUGCAGGCGGCCUGUUAAGUCAGAUGUGAAAGCCCGGGGCUUAACCUCGGAAUUGCAUUUGAAACUGGCAGGCUAGAGUCUUGUAGAGGGGGGUAGAAUUUCAGGUGUAGCGGUGAAAUGCGUAGAGAUCUG
rnacentral:rRNA from 1 species